rnacentral:rRNA from 1 species
CAGUAGCCGCGGGAAUACGUAGGGUGCAAGCGUUAAUCGGAAUUACUGGGCGUAAAGCGUGCGCAGGCGGUUAUAUAAGACAGAUGUGAAAUCCCCGGGCUCAACCUGGGAACUGCAUUUGUGACUGUAUAGCUAGAGUACGGCAGAGGGGGAUGGAAUUCCGCGUGUAGCAGUGAAAUGCGUAGAUAUGCGGAGGAACACCGAUGGCGAAGGCAAUCCCCUGGGCCUGUACUGACGCUCAUGCACGAAAGCGUGGGGAGCAAACAGGAUUAGAUACCCCAGUAGGUCCCUGUCUCUUAUA